rnacentral:tRNA from 1 species
GAGGUCAUGGUUUAAGUGGUAGAAUGCUUAUUUUGCAAAUAUGAAGCCCUGAGUUCAAACCCCAGUUAUACCA